UAUAUCCAAAGUAUUCAGACUUCAUGUGAAUUAUUCUUCUGCUUCUUGAUGGGAAGAAUUCUGUAAUCCACACUUUCAUCCCUGCAUUCAAUGAUUUAAAACCAACCAAUAUGGUCACCUGUCUAAAAAAAAGACCACCCAUUCGUCAUAGGACGUUUCAUGCUUUCCACAACGAUCACACUAUUUGACAAGUCUUACGGUGAGGGGUUCUGGGGAGGACUCACACUCCACUUGAACAUGAGAUGUUUUCAAAUUCCAGCAUGCUCUUGUAUCUCCAGUGUCCAGCCAGUGCUGUCAACCCCGGUUCAUCGUUGUCAUUUCUGGAGAAGUUCUGCCAAGAUAUUUCAGCUCAGGAUGGGUAUUUGCUCAGUUUCAUGAACCAGAAGUCGCCCAGUUCUUUGCAACAUUUGGCGCUAACCUCACAAUUGCAUGGAUGGAAGACAAUAGGAGCUCGGUAAAGCUUCCAUGAAGCGGAGAGAGCUUGAAUGGUCUGAAGUAAAAAGCAGUCUUGCUCAGUAAUUAACGGCUUCACAGAUCCCAUGUUCUUUGGAUGUGAGUGACAAUGGACGAUUGGAGAAAAAGACAAGCAUCUGGGCGGAGCAGCGAGGGCAAUUAGCGUCACCUCUGCUGUACUAUAAUUAUCACCUCCGCAGACGCCCUGGAGUCAUAAAUACGACGAGAGAAGGAGGAGAACACGAAAGGGGUUACGGUGUUGGAAGGUCAAGCUAAAUUUAGUUGUUACCUAUCACUAUCAGUGUCCACCACCGAUGCAAUGGCCAAUCGAAUCUCAAGUUCAUUUUAAGGAAUGGUCUCAGUCAUAAGACUGUUAUGAACAAUCGAUUUCAAAAUAUCAACAUAAACUUAGGAUAAUAAAUUUCUCUCGAAUGCAUUUUUUUAAUCAAAA